GGACAGCCUCGGGAAACUGUGGGGAAUACCGGAUAAUACGGGACGGCGGCAUGGCCGGCCCGGGAAAGCCCAGACGGGAGGGGAUGGGCCCGCGGCCUGUUAGCUAGUCGGCGGGGUAACGGCCCACCGAGGCGAUUAUGGGUAGCCGGGUUGAGAGACCGACCGGCCAGAUUGGGACUGAGACACGGCCCAGACUCCUACGGGAGGCAGCAGUGGGGAAUCUUGCGCAAUGGGCGGAAGCCUGACGCAGCGACGCCGCGUGCGGGACGAAGGCCUUCGGGUCGUAAACCGCUUUCAGCAGGGACGAGGCCCUCACGGUGACGGUACCUGCAGAAGAAGCCCCGGCUAACUACGUGCCAGCAGCCGCGGUAAUACGUAGGGGGCGAGCGUUAUCCGGAUUCAUUGGGCGUAAAGCGCGCGUAGGCGGCCUGUUAGGUCGGGGGUCAAAUACCGGGGCUCAACCCCGGUCCGCCCCCGAUACCGGCAGGCUUGAGUCUGGUAGGGGAAGGCGGAAUUCCCAGUGUAGCGGUGGAAUGCGCAGAUAUUGGGAAGAACACCGGCGGCGAAGGCGGCCUUCUGGGCCACGACUGACGCUGAGGCGCGAAAGCUAGGGGAGCGAACAGGAUUAGAUACCCUGGUAGUCCUAGCCGUAAACG
rnacentral:rRNA from 1 species